rnacentral:tRNA from 1 species
GCCUUUGUGGUUCAAUGGGAGAAUAAUAGACUGAAGAUCUACAGAUGGUGGUUCGAUUCCACCCAAAGGCA